UUCAGAGUUCGAGCUCGGAGGUCCGAGCUUCUCAUCACCCUGAGGAAGUCAUCUUAUCUCGGGCCUGCAUUGAGAGCUUUCUUGAAGGUCGGGGAUUUUGAUAAGAACCCCAAUCCUUGCUGGGAUGAGGUUCCCUGCAUCUUUGAUGCUGUUUGUUUUUCAUUCAUCGCUGACAUAAUCCGUCGCUUUCCUUUUUAACUCCUCUCCCCUUUCUCCUUUUUCUUUUUUGAGUGAGGGUUUUCCCUCUCUCUUGGUGGGGUCGCGAGAGCGUGAAGGGGCCGCUGAGAAGGUCCCCUUUUUCUGAUCUGGUCUUGGAUGACCGGACCUUAGUCGGUGCCAGGGCGAUGUUCUUCCCUUACUUCUGAUGUAAUCGAUCCUAGUUCGUAUUAGGACGAGGUUCUUCUCCGCUCCUAAUAGGACUGUGGGGGCACAU
rnacentral:lncRNA from 1 species